AUUGAACGCUGGCGGAAUGCUUUACACAUGCAAGUCGAACGGCAGCACGGACUUCGGUCUGGUGGCGAGUGGCGAACGGGUGAGUAAUACAUCGGAACGUGCCCAAUCGUGGGGGAUAACGUAGCGAAAGCUACGCUAAUACCGCAUACGAUCUAGGGAUGAAAGCGGGGGAUCGCAAGACCUCGCGCGAUUGGAGCGGCCGAUGGCAGAUUAGGUAGUUGGUAGGGUAGAGGCCUACCAAGCCGACGAUCUGUAGCUGGUCUGAGAGGAUGAUCCGGCACACUGGGACCGAGACACGGCCCAGACUCCUACGGGAGGCAGCAGUGGGGAAUUUUGGACAAUGGGCGAAAGCCUGAUCCAGCCAUUCCGCGUGCAGGAUGAAGGCCCUCGGGUUGUAAACUGCUUUUGUACAGAACGAAAAGGUUUCUACUAAUACUAGGAGCUCAUGACGGUACUGUAAGAAUAAGCACCGGCUAACUACGUGCCAGCAGCCGCCGCAG
rnacentral:rRNA from 1 species